rnacentral:rRNA from 1 species
UCAGGGACGAAAUCAAUGACGGUACNUGAGGAGGAAGCCACGGCUAACUACGUGCCAGCAGCCGCGGUAAUACGUAGGUGGCAAGCGUUGUCCGGAAUUACUGGGUGUAAAGGGAGCGUAGGCGGGAAUGCAAGUUGAAUGUUUAAACUAUCGGCUCAACUGAUAAUCGCGUUCAAAACUGCAUUUCUUGAGUGGAGUAGAGGCAGGCGGAAUUCCUAGUGUAGCGGUGAAAUGCGUAGAUAUUAGGAGGAACACCAGUGGCGAAGGCGGCCUGCUGGGCUCUAACUGACGCUGAGGCUCGAAAGCGUGGGUAGCAAACAGGAUUAGAUACCCUGGUAGUCCACGCCGUAAACGAUGAUUACUAGGUGUGGGGGGACUGACCCCUUCCGUGCCGGAGUUAACACAAUAAGUAAUCCACCUGGGGAGUACGGUCGCAAGACUGAAACUCAAAGGAAUUGACGGGGGCCCGCACAAGCAGUGGAGUAUGUGGUUUAAUUCGAAGCAACGCGAAGAACCUUACCAGGUCUUGACAUCGUGCGCAUACCGUAGAGAUACGGGAAGUCCUUCGGGACGCAUAGACAGGUGGUGCAUGGUUGUCGUCAGCUCGUGUCGUGAGAUGUUGGGUUAAGUCCCGCAACGAGCGCAACCCUUAUUAUUAGUUGCUACGCAAGAGCACUCUAAUGAGACUGCCGUUGACAAAACGGAGGAAGGUGGGGAUGACGUCAAAUCAUCAUGCCCCUUAUGACCUGGGCUACACACGUACUACAAUGGCACUUAACAGAGGGAAGCAAGACCGCGAGGUGGAGCAAACCCCCAAAAAGUGUCUCAGUUCGGAUUGCAGGCUGCAACCCGCCUG